AGUGAACGCUGGCGGCAGGCCUAACACAUGCAAGUCGAACGGCAGCACAGUAAGAGCUCGUUCUUACGGGGGGGGAGUGGCGGAUGGUUCCUGAAAACAUCCGUGUCUACUUUUUCUUGCGUGCUAACGCGGGGAAACUUACGCUAAUACCGCAGACGACCUACGGGUGAAAGCAUGGGACCUUCGGACCUCGCGUGAGCGAAUGAGCCGAGGUCGGAUUAGCUAGUUGGCGGGGUAAAGGCCCACCAAGGCGACGAUCCGUAGCUGGUCUGAGAGGAUGAUCAGUCACACUGGAACUGAGACACGGUCCAGACUCCUACGGGAGGCAGCAGUGGGGAAUAUUGGACAAUGGGCGAAAGCCUGAUCCAGCCAUGCCGCGUGUGUGAAGAAGGCCUUCGGGUUGUAAAGCACUUUUAUUGGGGAAGAAGGGCAGCAAGUUAAUACCCCGCUGUUCUGACGGUACCCAAAGAAUAAGCACCGGCUAACUUCGUG
rnacentral:rRNA from 1 species